rnacentral:rRNA from 1 species
GGAUUUACUGGGCGUAAAGGGCGCGUAGGCGGCCUCGCAAGUCAGUUGUGAAAUCUUUCGGCUUAACUCAGAACGGUCAACUGAUACUGCAGGGCUAGAGUACGGGAGGGGAGAGUGGAACUUCUGGUGGAGCGGUGAAAUGCGUAGAUAUCAGGAGGAACACCGGUGGCGAAGGCGGCUCUCUGGGCCGACACUGACGCUGAGGCGCGAAAGCUAGGGGAGCAAAC